CGCCUUUGAAUUUCCAGAGCUCGUCUGUGCCAACCAAGAAGAGGUACGAGCUCUCCAAGCGCGAUUUACUUUACGAUUGCCCCAGUAUCACCCUGCAGUGGCUCUCGUUGCUAGAUAUGCAUGAGUAGGAUUGUUGCUGGUCAGAAUUUAGAUUCUCUUCUCAGCAUACCAUGGGCGAUGUCUUCAUCUGCCUUUGCUGUAUGUGCCAGCAGUAAGCCCUUUGCUAAAAGAGAGUUUUGUUUGACUUCUGAGAUCCAAGGCUAAUUGUUUUUUAAAAAUUUUAAGUGGUAUAUUUUUUUAAUUGUCUGUAUAUGGGGUGCAUCCUUCCAUCUCCACAAAUCAUUUGAUUUUUAAAAUAUUGUUUGACUUCAUUGCUGUGUAUGAAUAUUUCUUGGCAUCCUUCAGAUACACAUUCCUACAGUCUUCUGCUUCUGAAGGAGAAAACCCACCACACACAGAAAAAAGACAUUUUCUUACACACACCACCUUGUUUAAGGGGAAGGGGGUUUAAGGUUUCAGAUAAGGUACUGGUUAGGAAACACAGUUGCGGGAUAACUUGUCAGGUCCAGCUGAGGUCGAAGCAGACAAAUCAGGUGUCACUUCAAACACAAGCUCCCCUUCACCAGAUGAGCUCCACACGCCAGGCGUGCGGUUGUGGACGUGGUCUCUGGUGUUAGAGGUGAGGUCCAAAGGGUUGGGGGCUGGGAUCGAAUUCUGUUUUGCAGAAAAGGAAAGUAGACACUUAAGAACCCCCCCAUGUCAGCAAUAAAGAAGGAUCAUUCUGUAUUAGAAAUCGUGUCGUAGAUAACUCGUUCCUGACAAGGGAACAGAUGUUUGUCUUGUGACCUUGUGCUUCUGAAGUCAGACAAAACCGUGUCAUCAGCUUGCACAAAGGAGGGUGCGCAGUGCACAUGGAGACACAGACGUGACCCGAUAGGGCGGCUUCCUCAUGGUGCUUGUUUAUUAUCUCUAUUUAAUCCUGCUUGACACUUUACCCAAGGGAAACGGUCCCUUUUAUCAGUUGAAUGUUAGCAGCGUUAUUUCAUAGAGUGUGAUGGCUGGUUAGAGAAAUGUACUCAACCAGUCACAGUGUCAAAGGAAAUUUUUAUGUGCGAAGGAUGGCAACCUUCUCGUAUGUUACACCACCAGUAAGCUUUGUACAUCUGUGAUAACGCCUGUUUUAUAUUCAAAUGAACAAAUAAAAGCUUUUAUUUUUGUUGCUCUG